rnacentral:misc_RNA from 1 species
UUUCCGUAGGUGAACCUGCGGAAGGAUCAUUAAAGUUAUAGUCCCCCGGCCCCUCCGGGCUGGGGUCUUCUAUACCACCCUUUGUUUAUUACACCUUUGUUGCUUUGGCAGGCCUGCCCUCGGGCUGCUGGCUCCGGCCGGCUCGUGCCUGCCAGAGGACCUAAACUCUGUUUGUAUAUGAAGUCUGAGUACUAUAUAAUAGUUAAAACUUUCAACAACGGAUCUCUUGGUUCUG